rnacentral:rRNA from 1 species
AACGAACGCUGGCGGCAGGCUUAACACAUGCAAGUCGAGCGCCCCGCAAGGGGAGCGGCAGUCGGGUGAGUAACGCGUGGGAACGUACCCUUAUCUUCGGGAUAGCUUCGGGAAACUGGAAUUAAUACCGAAUGUGCCCUUUGGGGGAAAGAUUUAACGGAUAAGGAUCGGCCCGCGUUGGCUUAGCUAGUUGGUGGGGUAAAGGCCUACCAAGGCGACGAUCCAUAGCUGGGCUGAGAGGAUGAUCAGCCACAUUGGGACUGGGACACGGCCCAAACUCCUACGGGAGGCAGCAGUGGGGAAUAUUGGACAAUGGGCGCAAGCCUGAUCCAGCCAUGCCGCGUGAGUGAUGAAGGCCUUAGGGUUGUAAAGCUCUUUCACCGGAGAAGAUAAUGACGGUAUCCGGAGAAGAAGCCCCGGCUAACUUCGUG